rnacentral:rRNA from 1 species
GACGAACGCUGGCGGCGUGCUUAACACAUGCAAGUCGAACGGAAAGGCCCUUCGGGGUACUCGAGUGGCGAACGGGUGAGUAACACGUGGGUGAUCUGCCCUGCACUUUGGGAUAAGCCUGGGAAACUGGGUCUAAUACCGAAUAUGAUCAUCGGCUUCAUGGUCGGUGGUGGAAAGCUUUUGCGGUGUGGGAUGGGCCCGCGGCCUAUCAGCUUGUUGGUGGGGUAAUGGCCUACCAAGGCGACGACGGGUAGCCGGCCUGAGAGGGUGACCGGCCACACUGGGACUGAGAUACGGCCCAGACUCCUACGGGAGGCAGCAGUGGGGAAUAUUGCACAAUGGGCGCAAGCCUGAUGCAGCGACGCCGCGUGAGGGAUGACGGCCUUCGGGUUGUAAACCUCUUUCAGCACAGACGAAGCGCAAGUGACGGUAUGUGCAGAAGAAGGACCGGCCAACUACGUGCCAGCAGCCGCGGUAACAC